rnacentral:rRNA from 1 species
GACGAACGCUGGCGGCGUGCUUAACACAUGCAAGUCGAACGGUAAGGCCCCCGUUUGCUGGGGUACUCGAGUGGCGAACGGGUGAGUAACACGUGGGUGACCUGCCCUGUACUUCGGGAUCAUCGUUGUAAACUGGGUCUAAUACCGGUUAUGACCGUCGGGUGGAUAGUGUGGUGGCAAGGUUUUGCGGUGUGGGAUGGGCGCUCGGCGUAUCAGCCUGUUGGUGGGGUGUUGGCCUUGCAAGGCGGCGACGGGUAGCCGGCGUGAGAGGGUGGACGGCCACAUUGGGACUGAGACACGGCCCAGACUCCUACGGGAGGCAGCAGUGGGGAAUAGUGCACAAUGGGCGGAAGCCUGAUGCAGCGACGCCGCGUGGGGGAUGACGGCCUUCGGGUUGUAAACUCCUUGCACCAUCGACGAAGGGUUGGUGACGGUAGUUGGAGAAGAAGCACCGGCUAACUACGUG